CCUACGGGAGGCAGCAGUGAGGAAUAUUGGUCAAUGGACGGAAGUCUGAACCAGCCAUGUCGCGUGCAGGAAGACUGCCCUAUGAGUUGUAAACUGCUUUUGUACAAGGGUAAACCUGAAUACGUGUAUUCUGCUGAAAGUACUGUACGAAUAAGGAUCGGCUAACUCCGUGCCAGCAGCCGCGGUAAUACGGAGGGGGCUAGCGUUAUCCGGAAUUACUGGGCGUAAAGGGUGCGUAGGUGGUUUCUUAAGUCAGAGGUAAAAGGCUACGGCUCAACCGUAGUAAGCCUUUGAAACUGGGAAACUUGAGUGCAGGAGAGGAGAGUGGAAUUCCUGGUGUAGCGGUGAAAUGCGUAGAUAUUAGGAGGAACACCAGUUGCGAAGGCAGCUCUCUGGACUGUAACUGACACUGAGGCACGAAAGCGUGGGGAGCAAACAGGAUUAGAUACCCGUGUAGUC
rnacentral:rRNA from 1 species